UACAGAGGUCCCGAGCGUUGUUCGGAUUCACUGGGCGUAAAGGGUGCGUAGGUGGUAGGGUAAGUCGGAUGUGAAAUCUCGGAGCUCAACUCCGAAACUGCAUUGGAAACUACCCAACUUGAGGGUCGGAGGGGGGACUGGAAUUCUCGGUGUAGCAGUGAAAUGCGUAGAUAUCGGGAGGAACACCAGUGGCGAAGGCGGUUACCUGGAGCUUUGCUGACGCUGAUGCGCGAAAGCGUGGGGAGCGAUCCGG
rnacentral:rRNA from 1 species